AUUGAACGCUGGCGGCAGGCCUAACACAUGCAAGUCGAACGAGUGGCGGACGGGUGAGUAAUGUCUGGGAAACUGCCUGAUGGAGGGGGGUAACUACGGGAACCGGUCGCUAAUACCGACUACAAUCAGAUGUGCCCAGAUGGGUUUAGCUGGUUGGUGGGGUAACGGCUAACCAAGGCGACGAGCCCUAGCUGGUCUGAGAGGAUGACCAGACACACGAGAACUGAGACACGGUCCAGCCUCCUACGUGAGGCAGCAGUGGGGAAUAUUGCACAAUGGGCGCAAGCCUGAUGCAGCCAUGCCGCGUGUAUGAAGAAGGCCUUCGGGUUGUAAAGUACUUUCAGCGGGGAGGCGUUACCCGCAGAAGAAGCACCGGCUAAGUCCGUGCCAGCAGCCGCGGUAAUAC
rnacentral:rRNA from 1 species